CCUACGGGAGGCAGCAGUAGGGAAUAUUGCUCAAUGGGGGAAACCCUGAAGCAGCAACGCCGCGUGGAGGAUGAAGGUUUUCGGAUUGGAAACUCCUUUUGUUAGAGAAGAUAAUGACGGUAUCUAACGAAUAAGCACCGGCUAACUCCGUGCCAGCCGCCGCGGUAAUACGGAGGGUGCAAGCGUUACUCGGAAUCACUGGGCGUAAAGAGCGCGUAGGCGGGAUAGAAAGUCAGACGUGAAAUCCUAUGGCUUAACCAUAGAACUGCAUUUGAAACUGUUAUUCUAGAGUAUGGGAGAGGUAGGUGGAAUUCUUGGUGUAGGGGUAAAAUGCGUAGAGAUCAAGAGGAAUACUCAUUGCGAAGGCGACCUGCUAGUACAUAACUGACGCUGAGGCGCAAAAGCGUGGGGAUCAAACAGGAUUAGAUACCCGGGUAGUC
rnacentral:rRNA from 1 species